rnacentral:rRNA from 1 species
GACGAACGCUGGCGGCGUGCUUAACACAUGCAAGUCGAACGGAAAGGCCCUGCUUUUGUGGGGUGCUCGAGUGGCGACCGGGUAAUUACCACGGGAGUAACCUCCCCUUGACAAUGGGAUAACAUCAGGAAACUGAGGCUCAUACCGGACAGGUGCUCCUGCUUCAUGCUGGGGGUUGGCAAGUUUCGGCGGUCGGGGAUGGACUCGCGGCUUAUCAGCUUGUUGGUGGGGUAGUGGCUUACCAAGGCUAUGACGGGUAGACGGCCUGAGAGGGUGACCGGCGACAUUGGGACUGAGAUACGCCCCAGACUCCUACGGGAGGCAGAACUGGGGAAGAUAGCACAAUAGGCGGAAGCCUGAUGCAGAAACGCCGCGUGCGGGAGAACAAGCUUCGGGUUGUAAACCGCUUUCGCCUGUGACGAAGCGUGAGUGACGGUAAUGGGUAAAGAAGCACCGGCUAACUACGUG